rnacentral:rRNA from 1 species
UCGAGAAUCUUUCACAAUGGGGGCAACCCUGAUGGAGCGACGCCGCGUGGAGGAUAAGGUCUUCGGAUUGUAAACUCCUGUCAUGCGAGAGCAAGGCAUAGCAAUAUGUUUGAUAGUAUCGCAAGAGGAAGAGACGGCUAACUCUGUGCCAGCAGCCGCGGUAAUACAGAGGUCUCAAGCGUUGUUCGGAAUCACUGGGCGUAAAGGGUGCGUAGGCGGCGGAGUAAGUCGGGUGUGAAAUUUGAGGGCUCAACCCUCAACUUGCACCUGAUACUGCUUUGCUCGAGGCCUGAAGAGGAGCUUGGAAUUCUCGGUGUAGCAGUGAAAUGCGUAGAUUUCGAGAAGAACGCUCGCAGCGAAAGCGAAGCUCUGGUCAGGUUCUGACGCUGAGGCACGAAGGCUAGGGGAGCAAACGGGAUUAGAUACCCCCGUAGUCC